rnacentral:lncRNA from 1 species
AAGAAAGUUUAUAAAUUGUUUUGCAUUGCAUUCAUGGCUGCUGUGGACCAUAGGCUAAAUAUCCCUGGAACCAAGAGGCAGGAAGACAGCAGUGAUGUCUAGAGAUCAGAAGGGAGGGGCAAGCCCCGGAAGCAGGACUUUGGCCAGGGGCAGCUUUGGUCCAGAUGAGCCACACUCAGGCUAAGCUCAUAGGCAUGGGGGGUGGAGAAGGUUCAUAUCACGGGAACCGGAAAUGAUUUGCUAACAGAAAAAGGGACUGGAAACAAAGAAAUUAACUGACAGCUUAAGAGCAAGAGGUCCAGAGGUCCAGAGCGGCUGAGAGAACUGUGUGGAAGAGGAGACACAAAGCAACAUGUUCUGGACGACUGAGGCAGCUCCUAAGGUCCCAGGCUUUGCAGCACCACAUCCUCUGCCUGAAGACUGUUUUCUCAGGCCUGAGCUGAGUUCUGAAUGCUGAAACCUCAUUGAGGAGACUAGCUAUGGAAAAAU